UGGGGAAUAUUGCACAAUGGGCGCAAGCCUGAUGCAGCCAUGCCGCGUGUGUGAAGAAGGCCUUCGGGUUGUAAAGCACUUUCAGCGAGGAGGAAGGUGGUGGACUUAAUACGUUCAUCAAUUGACGUUACUCGCAGAAGAAGCACCGGCUAACUCCGUGCCAGCAGCCGCGGUAAUACGGAGGGUGCAAGCGUUAAUCGGAAUUACUGGGCGUAAAGCGCACGCAGGCGGUUUGUUAAGUCAGNUGUGAAAUCCCCGGGCUCAACCUGGGAACUGCAUUUGAAACUGGCAAGCUAGAGUCUCGUAGAGGGGGGUAGAAUUCCAGGUGUAGCGGUGAAAUGCGUAGAGAUCUGGAGGAAUACCGGUGGCGAAGGCGGCCCCCUGGA
rnacentral:rRNA from 1 species